AUGCGGCAGGUCCAGACUACCUCUAGAGCUACCAGAUCCCUAAGUACUCUGACAAGGGCCGUUAGACGAGGUGGAGAGAGCACUGGAAUAGAUGCCAAUGGAAAUUCCUAUGAUCUGAGCACAAAGUUGCUCCAUUUGGCCUGGCACCCAUCUGAAAAUCUAAUUGCUUGUGCUGCAGCCAAUAGCUUGUACAUGUACUACGCAUAAA